rnacentral:rRNA from 1 species
UACGGGGGGGGCAAGCGUUGUUCGGAAUUACUGGGCGUAAAGGGCGCGUAGGCGGUUCGCUAAGUUGAAUGUGAAAACUCUGGGCUUAACCCAGAGCCUGCAUUCAAUACUGGCGGGCUAGAGUUCUGGAGGGGAUAGCGGAAUUCCUGGUGUAGCGGUGAAAUGCGUAGAUAUCAGGAGGAACACUGGUGGCGAAGGCGGGUCUCUGGGCCGUAACUGACGCUGAGGAGCGAAAGCGUGGGGAGCGAACAGG